rnacentral:rRNA from 1 species
UACGUAGGGCGCAAGCGUUAUCCGGAAUUAUUGGGCGUAAAGAGCUCGUAGGCGGUGUGUCGCGUCGGCCGUGAAAACCUGCAGCUUAACUGUGGGCUUGCGGUCGAUACGGGCAUCACUGGAGUUCGGCAGGGGAGACUGGAAUUCCUGGUGUAGCGGUGAAAUGCGCAGAUAUCAGGAGGAACACCGGUGGCGAAGGCGGGUCUCUGGGCCGAUACUGACGCUGAGGAGCGAAAGCGUGGGGAGCAAACAGG